rfam:Roseovarius marisflavi strain DSM 29327 genome assembly, contig: Ga0131176_121
CCCCUAGGCAAGCCCCGCCAUAGCCCCUAUAUGUGGCUUGUCUCUUCGGGGACUAUGGACAUAAACGCGCUCGUAAUACGCGGAUCGGACCCGGGGGCGGUACCCGGCGACUCCACCAAUAAUCCCUUCAUUUGGGGGAUCCUGGGGUCGAAACAGGAUCGACGAACGUCUAAAGGGGUAUUGCUUUGUCUCGGUGAGGUACCACCGUUAUCGGUCCGAAAAGUACAAUUGCAAAUGACAAUCGUGCUCCGGUAGCUCUCGCAGCGUAAGCUGUUAGAAAAACCGAAAACUAAGCCCUUGCGCCUAGCAGCGUAAGGCGGGGUUCGCAGGCACCUGGCAACAGAAGCCUGCACU